GACGAACGCGGCGGCGUGCCUAAUACAUGCAAGUAGAACGCACAGGAUGCACCGUAGUUUACUACACCGUAUUCUGUGAGUUGCGAACGGGUGAGUAACGCGUAGGUAACCUGCCUGGUAGCGGGGGAUAACUAUUGGAAACGAUAGCUAAUACCGCAUAAGAACAUUUACUGCAUGGUAGAUGUUUAAAAGGUGCAAAUGCAUCACUACCAGAUGGACCUGCGUUGUAUUAGCUAGUAGGUGAGGUAACGGCUCACCUAGGCGACGAUACAUAGCCGACCUGAGAGGAUGAUCGGCCACACUGGGACUGAGACACGGCCCAGACUCCUACGGGAGGCAGCAGUAGGGAAUCUUCGGCAAUGGGGGGAACCCUGACCGAGCAACGCCGCGUGAGUGAAGAAGGUUUUCGGAUCGUAAAGCUCUGUUGUUAAGGAAGAACGAGUGUGAGAAUGGAAAGCUCAUACUGUGACG
rnacentral:rRNA from 1 species